AGAGUUUGAUCCUGGCUCAGGAUGAACUUUGGCGGCGUGCUUAACACAUGCAAGUCGAACGGAGUUUUACUUAUUGAGGAAUUUAGCUUGCUAUUGACUGAUAUUUGUAAAACUUAGUGGCGGACGGGUGAGUAACGCGUGGGUAACCUGCCGUAUACAGGGGGACAACAGUUGGAAACGACUGCUAAUACCGCAUAAGCGCACAGUACUGCAUGGUACAGUGUGAAAAACUCCGGUGGUAUACGAUGGACCCGCGUCUGAUUAGCUAGUUGGUGAGGUAACGGCCCACCAAGGCGACGAUCAGUAGCCGGCCUGAGAGGGUGAACGGCCACAUUGGGACUGAGACACCGCCCCAACUCCUACGGGAGGCAGCAGUGGGGAAUAUUGCACAAUGGGGGAAACCCUGAUGCAGCGACGCCGCGUGAGUGAAGAAGUAUUUCGGUAUGUAAAGCUCUAUCAGCAGGGAAGAUAAUGACGGUACCUGACUAAGAAGCACCGGCUAAAUACGUGCCAGCAGCCGCGGUAAUACGUAUGGUGCAAGCGUUAUCCGGAUUUACUGGGUGUAAAGGGAGCGCAGGCGGUACGGCAAGUCUGAUGUGAAAGCCCGGGGCUCAACCCCGGUACUGCAUUGGAAACUGUCGGACUGGAGUGUCGGAGGGGUAAGCGGAAUUCCUAGUGUAGCGGUGAAAUGCGUAGAUAUUAGGAGGAACAUCAGUGGCGAAGGCGGCCUGCUGGGCUUUUACUGACGCUGAGGCUCGAAAGCGUGGGGAGCAAACAGGAUUAGAUACCCUGGUAGUCCACGCCGUAAACGAUGAUUACUAGGUGGGGGGGGACUGACCCCUUCCGUGCCGCAGUUAACACAAUAAGUAAUCCACCUGGGGAGUACGGCCGCAAGGUUGAAACUCAAAGGAAUUGACGGGGGCCCGCACAAGCAGUGGAGUAUGUGGUUUAAUUCGAAGCAACGCGAAGAACCUUACCAGGUCUUGACAUCCAACUAACGAACUAGAGAUAGAUUAGGUGCCCUUCGGGGAAAGUUGAGACAGGUGGUGCAUGGUUGUCGUCAGCUCGUGUCGUGAGAUGUUGGGUUAAGUCCCGCAACGAGCGCAACCCCUGCCAUUAGUUGCUACGCAAGAGCACUCUAAUGGGACCGCUACCGACAAGAUGGAGGAAGGUGGGGACGACGUCAAAUCAUCAUGCCCCUUAUGACCUGGGCUACACACGUAAUACAAUGGCCGUUAACAGAAGGAAGCGAAGGCGCGAGCCGGAGCAAACCCCCAAAAACGGUCUCAGUUCGGAUCGCAGGCUGCAACCCGCCUGCGUGAAGUCGGAAUCGCUAGUAAUCGCAGGUCAGCAUACUGCGGUGAAUACGUUCCCGGGCCUUGCACUAACGGCCCGUCA
rnacentral:rRNA from 1 species